UUCUAGCCCCGAUCGCAGUGAAAAUCCUUUUGUGCCGGGGUUCGGCACAUAAGAUUGCAACGAAGAGCGGGACUAAUG
rnacentral:sRNA from 1 species